ACUUGAAUAGCUUAUAAUUAGAGUAUUACAUUGAAGAUGUAGUGGAGAUUUAUAAAAUCUUUAAGUA
rnacentral:tRNA from 1 species